GUAAAUGUGUCAGUAUUCAAUUAUUUGAAAGCUAUAAAUAUAAGAAAAUGAAAGAAGAAAACAAUUACUUAUGUAUGUUUCAGAAAAUUCAAAGGCUUUAGAAGAAAUGCACAAAAACAAAAUGAGGAUAAUAUGAAGAAUCAGGACAGACAGAUUCCCGAAAAACCCAAAGUGGAGGAGACUCCUAUGGAAACAAUAUAUCAAAACUCAGAUUAUGGGGAGUUUGAUGAACAACGUAAUGUAAAUGAAGACCAGCUGUACCACCUAAACCAUGACUCAACAACUAUACCUGAAUAAAUGAAGAGUCAAAUCAAUGCUUGCACUGCAGAGGUGGCACAGAAGCUGCAUCUGAAGACUGCGUCAUUGACUGUUUAAUGCAGCACAGAGGGACACAAAUGCAUUUACAAAUUACAAGUGCAUGAAAAUGGUAUGAGUGGACGCAGCUUUUGAACUGGGAUGCAUCUGGGAUGUAACAUUGGUCGGACUACACCUUUACUUGCUGGAAUAAGUAUAUUACAUACUGUUAAAGCUUUUAAAAGUAACUGGACUGACAAGCUACAGAAACAUUUAGUUAAGUUAGUAGUGUCACUACUGAUCAGAUGAUCUCUAACUACUACUGACGAGAGUCCAGUGUAUAAUCUAGUUUUUGUGUGUUUUAUUAGUUUUUGCAAUUCAUCCAUGACUCCCAGCAUAUGCAUUGUAGCAUUAAUAAAUUAUGCAGAUAAACUGAUGUACUAUAUUUUC